AUGCCCGGAACACCUCCCCAGGGAGGCGUCCAGGAGGCAUCCGAACUAGAUGCCCGAGCCACCUCAGCUGGCUCCUCUCGAUGUGGAGGAGCAGCGACUCUACUCCUAUAUAUACUCUUCUUGUUAAAGCAAAGCUGUCCAUCACAAUAUGGCAUUCAGCGUAAUAUAUGCUGCUUGCUAAACUGCUGGACAGAACAAAAAAAAAAAAAAAAAAAAAUACAGCAACAAAUCAAUCAAAUUGGGUUGAGUUGGCACAGUAUGAUUUGGAUACUUAAAGCGACUAAAGGGUCAAAACUAAAACCACUUACACGUUUGAGCCAAUUUGGACACGCAGAUCGAUUUUUUUUAUUACAUCAGAUUGUGUCACUUCAAAUUCAGAACGAUGAAUAAUCUGCUCGUCAGAUUUUGGAUUUAUUUAAUUCCCCAUCAUUUAAUGUUCUCACUUUGACAUUCGCACACAAAACAACACAAGUUCGCUGUUCCUUGAUCUGUACGUUAUCACAAUGAACUUGGACUCUUGUUUCCAUAUGCUGCAAGGUAAUGACUACAACAGAAUGAUGGUGAACACUCUGAGGGACUAUAGCAGACUCAAUCUGUCUCAGCUGAUCUCAUUGCUGGAAGCAUGAAAAGCGCUUGAAUCUGUUGUUAUUGAGCUGACAGCGAUCUGUCUUUGAACAGGCAUCGUGACAUGGUGAAUGGCAAAAAUAGGUAGUAGGUAGGAGUUCUAGAUGGGAGGUGAUAUAAUUCAUUGUUUUAUAAAUAACGCGUUACUCAUCUGACAAUUCACCAGUUCUUGUUAAAAGCCUUUUGUUUUUUGACCUAAUUUUUCAUUCAUUUAGCUUCUCUUGUGUUUUCAGAACGGCAUUUCUCUCUCUUUUCCUUACAUGUGCAACAAUGCAUUCUCCAUUAAGUCUUUACUGUAGGUUGAUGGAAAUGUCACGAGGGCACUGGGACAGCCAUGCAUCAUUCUACGGACUCCCUCCUCAUUGCUGAGUUUCAUUUUCCAUUUUUUCUCCUUGCUGUCACAACAGUGAAGAGCCAGGUCACUGCUCGCAAUCACUAAAUUACAUAACCACUGAUACCAAGCCAGCCUCCGUUUAUGCUUACAUAUUCAGAAAUAUAGCUGCCAUAAUCUACACUAACUACAAAAGCACAGCUGCUCUAGGUCCUGCUUGCAAGUCAAGGAUUUCCUCUAUUACUAUGUUUUUCUAGAUGCACAGAACUGGAGAGAGAUCCAGGCUGUAGGUGUAUCAGUGGUAGCACACAUGAACUACUAGAGACUUACAACAGAUCUGUUUGUUUUGGCCCUUUUCUGAUAAGCAGGAAAGAAAGAACCCUGUUUUCCAUUAUGUCCUGUAACUGCAGUGUAGUCACCUUGGAGGCUGCAGACGAGUGGAUAUAAUAGGAAAAAGAACAGUGUCACAUGAUGAAAUCAGUGUGCGUCAAGCACACCAAGAACCUGCUGGCUCCAUGUUUUCUCCAGUUGCCUCUUUAUCACAUUACAGCUCAGAUAGAUGGCACCUAAACCCAAGAGGUAAGGGAUUAAUUUGUUUAAGAUGUACUGCGGUGACUGACCUUGGUUGGGCAGAAAGGGAAAAAGAAUGACUUUAUCUCCUCCUCCUGCCCUGCACACCUUUCUAGAGUGAGAAUGAAAAAAAUAGAGACAAAGAGAGAGGCGAUGUCUAUGAUUCAAAACAGCAACAUCACAGAAUAAAGCAUCCACUGGGCCAUUUCA
ensembl:lncRNA